CCUACGGGAGGCAGCAGUAGGGAAUCUUCCGCAAUGGGCGAAAGCCUGACGGAGCAACGCCGCGUGAGUGAUGAAGGUUUUCGGAUCGUAAAGCUCUGUUGUUAGGGAAGAACAAGUACCGUUCGAAUAGGGCGGUACCUUGACGGUACCUAACCAGAAAGCCACGGCUAACUACGUGCCAGCAGCCGCGGU
rnacentral:rRNA from 1 species